rnacentral:rRNA from 1 species
CAUGCAUGUCUAAGUAUAAGCUUUAUACUGUGAAACUGCGAAUGGCUCAUUAAAUCAGUUAUAGUUUAUUUGAUGGUGUUACCUACUCGGAUAACCGUAGGAAAACUAGAGCUAAUACGUGCGUAAAUCCCGACUCACGAAGGGACGUAUUUAUUAGAUAAGAGGCCGACCGGGCUUUGCCCGACCUUCGGUGAAUCAUAAUAACUUCACGAAUCGCAUGGUCUUGAACCGGCGAUGUUUCAUUCAAAUUUCUGCCCUAUCAACUUUCGACGGUAGGGUAGUGGCCUACCGUGGUGGUAACGGGUGACGGAGGAUUAGGGUUCGAUUCCGGAGAGGGGGCCUGAGAAACGGCUACCACAUCCAAGGAAGGCAGCAGGCGCGCAAAUUACCCAAAUCCCAACUCGGGGAGGUAGUGACAAGAAAUAACGAUGCUCCGGCCUCACGGUCGGGUAAUCGGAAUGAGAACAAUUUAAAUCCCUUAUCGAGGAUCAAUUGGAGGGCAAGUCUGGUGCCAGCAGCCGCGGUAAUUCCAGCUCCAAUAGCGUAUAUUUAAGUUGCUGCGGUUAAAAAGCUCGUAGUCGGAUUUCGGGUGGCGCCUACCGGUCCGCCUUUGGUGAGUACUGGUAGGUGCCACCUUUCUGCCGAGGACGGGUACUGGGCUUAAUUGUCUGGACCCCGGAGUCGGCGAUGUCACUUUGAGUAAAUUAGGGUGUUCAAAGCAGGCUUAUGCUCUGUAUACACUAGCAUGGGAUGACACGAUAGGACUUCGGUUUAUCUUGUCGGUCUGUAAGUCCGGAGUAAUGAUGAAGAGGGACAGUCGGGGGCAUUCGUAUUUCGUAGUCAGAGGUGAAAUUCUUGGAUUUACGGAAGACGAACUUCUGCGAAAGCAUUUGCCAAGGAUGUUUUCAUUGAUCAAGAACGAAAGUCGGGGGCUCGAAGACGAUUAGAUACCGUCGUAGUCUCGACCAUAAACGAUGCCGACUAGGGAUCGGAGGUGGUUUUUUUAUGACCUCUCCGGCACCUUACGAGAAAUCAAAGUUUCUGGGUUCCGGGGGAGUAUGGUCGCAAGGCUGAA